UGGCUUUCUUGGUGGGUGAGACCACCAUCUUCAGGAAGGUGAUUCUCCCAGAGCGCUCAACUCCUGCGCUCUGGGUGUGCUGACUCUUCUGACUUCAUCAAAUGCAGGAAACUCGGCUACAUAAUCUGCGGCUAAAGGAGGCUGUGUCUAUGCUCUUUCCUA
rnacentral:snRNA from 14 species